CCUAUUCUGACAUGAUGACAGUCUGAAACAUGGACACAAAUUGGAGCCCUCAGUGUUCUCCUACAAGCACAAAAUUAAGAAAUACCUGAGUUGGGCAGUGCAAGGAGACAUAGCCAAUCUUGCAUAUAAAAUCAAGUAUUCCUGGCACCUGACCCUGGCUGUCAUUAUAACCAACUGACUGAAAUUAACUUCAACAACCUGAAGCAGUACAUCAACUCACCCUUUACCCUGAUCUGGCCUACUCUGUGGCAGAGAAGGAAGAGUGUCCUCUGUACACCCAGUGGUUCUGACUGGCAGCUGCACCAACUCAAGCUAUGAGGAAAUGAAGUGUUCAGCAGAUGUGGCCAAGCCAGUGCUGGCUCACAGGCUCAAGAACAAAUCUCAGUUCAUCACUGCACUGAUAUCCAAGCAGACCUACAUCAAUGAGUGGAAUGGUUAUGCACAGAUCCUAUAGGUGUGGGUGGCACUGUCCUAGCCAAUGUGUCAUUGACCAGUAGAACCAAAAGAACAUUAACACGAGAAAAACCACAAUUAUAACUUCCUACAACAGGAACUUUACUGGAAAAAAUAAUGUGAACCCUAAGAACCAUACUUUCAUUGCACCCCCAAAGAAUAUCACAGCCCUGGGCUAUUCCUGGUACCCUCUACUUCAACUCAGAGACUGACUUCCUGACAGGCAAGAAUGGCUGGAAAUUCAAGAUGGAGGCUCCAGAAUGCAGAUGAGCUUCAUUAAGUAGAGAUCAACCCCAAGAUAACAGCACCAACAGAGAAGGAACAACUUCCACAGUUUAAACAGUUCUCAGAGCUGAGUAUGGAGAAAUCAUUUUUAAUAGAUCCUUUACAUCAACAUUUCCCAGUGGUCUGCUUCUCCGAUUAAAACCUUCAUUGAAGCACAAUUUCAA